UCCCCCCAGUCAGUCAUCUCCCAGUCAAUAGUCCACCAGUCAAUAGUCCCCAGUCAAUAGCCCCCCAGUCAUCCCCCCCCCAGUCAGUCAUCUCCCAGUCAAUAGCCCACCAGUCAAUAGCCCCCCAGUCAGUCAUCUCCCAGUCAAUAGUCCACCAGUCAAUAGCCCCCAGUCAGUCAUCUCCCAGUCAAUAGUCCACCAGUCAAUAGCCCCCAGUCAGUCAUCUCCCAGUCAAUAGCCCCCAGUCAAUAGUCCACCAGUCAAUAGUCCACCAGUCAAUAGUCCCCAGUCAAUAGUCC
ensembl:lncRNA